UACGAAGGGGGCUAGCGUUGCUCGGAAUCACUGGGCGUAAAGCGCACGUAGGCGGAUUGUUAAGUCAGGGGUGAAAUCCUGGAGCUCAACUCCAGAACUGCCUUUGAUACUGGCGAUCUUGAGUCCGGGAGAGGUGAGUGGAACUGCGAGUGUAGAGGUGAAAUGCGUAGAUAUCUGGAGGAACACCGGUGGCGAAGGCGGCAUCCUGGACCAACACUGACGCUGAGGAGCGAAAGCCAGGGGAGCAAACGGG
rnacentral:rRNA from 1 species